rnacentral:rRNA from 1 species
AUUGAACGCUGGCGGCAGGCCUAACACAUGCAAGUCGAGCGAGCGGCGGACGGGUGAGUAAUGUAUGGGAAUCUGCCCGAUAGAGGGGGAUAACUACUGGAAACGGUGGCUAAUACCGCAUACUAUCGGAUGAACCCAGAUGGGAUUAGCUAGUAGGUGGGGUAAAGGCUCACCUAGGCGACGAUCCCUAGCUGGUCUGAGAGGAUGACCAGCCACACUGGGACUGAGACACGGCCCAGACUCCUACGGGAGGCAGCAGUGGGGAAUAUUGCACAAUGGGGGCAACCCUGACGCAGCCAUGCCGCGUGUAUGAAGAAGGCCUUCGGGUUGUAAAGUUCUUUCGGUGGCGAGGCGUUACCUGCAGAAGAAGCACCGGCUAACUCCGUGCCAGCAGCCGCGGUAAUAC